UGUGCUCUAGAUAUGUAAUGCAAAGUC
rnacentral:piRNA from 1 species